UACGUAGGGUGCGAGCGUUGUCCGGAAUUAUUGGGCGUAAAGGGCUCGUAGGCGGCCAACUAAGUCGGAUGUGAAAUCCCCAGGCUUAACCUGGGAACUGCAUCCGAUACUGGAUGGCUUGAAUCCGGGAGAGGGAUGCAGAAUUCCAGGUGUAGCGGUGAAAUGCGUAGAUAUCUGGAGGAAUACCGGUGGCGAAGGCGGCAUCCUGGACCGGCAUUGACGCUGAGACGCGAAAGCGUGGGGAGCAAACAGG
rnacentral:rRNA from 1 species